rnacentral:rRNA from 1 species
AGCGAACGCUGGCGGUAGGCCUAACACAUGCAAGUCGAACGGCAGCACAGUAAGAGCUUGCUCUUACGGGUGGCGAGUGGCGGGCGGGUGAGGAAUACAUCGGAAUCUACUUUUUCGUGGGGGAUAACGUAGGGAAACUUACGCUAAUACCGCAUACGACCUACGGGUGAAAGCAGGGGAUCUUCGGACCUUGCGCGAUUGAAUGAGCCGAUGUCGGAUUAGCUAGUUGGCGGGGUAAAGGCCCACCAAGGCGACGAUCCGUAGCUGGUCUGAGGGGAUGAUCAGCCACACUGGAACUGAGACACGGCCGAGACUCCUACGGGGGGCAGCAGUGGGGAAUAUUGGACAAGGGGGGCAAGCCUGAUCCAGCCAUACCGCGUGGGUGAAGAAGGCCUUCGGGUUGUAAAGCCCUUUUGUUGGGAAAGAAAAGCAGCAGGUUAAUACCCCGCUGUUCUGACGGUACCCAAAGAAUAAGCACCGGCUAACUUCGUG